UACGGGGGGGGCAAGCGUUGUUCGGAAUUACUGGGCGUAAAGAGCUCGUAGGUGGUUUGUCGCGUUGUCCGUGAAAACUCACAACUCAAUUGUGGGCGUGCGGGCGAUACGGGCAGACUGGAGUACUGCAGGGGAGACUGGAAUUCCUGGUGUAGCGGUGGAAUGCGCAGAUAUCAGGAGGAACACCGGUGGCGAAGGCGGGUCUCUGGGCAGUAACUGACGCUGAGGCGCGAAAGCGUGGGGAGCAAACAGG
rnacentral:rRNA from 1 species